AAAUAGAAACAAAUCAUCCCCUGCCCCAACUGCAUCCCCGCCUCCCUCUCCCCACGGACGCCUUCCCCGCCGCCGCCCCGCGUGAUGGACGCCAUUUCUCCCCUAUUUCCCUCUUCUCCUCCACGGCCACGCCGCGUCGCUAGCAGAGCCCGCUGCGUUCGUUGUGAGCCGCCGCCCCGCCCCGUAGCCCUACGUCCGAAGCUGCAGCCGAGAUGCAUCUGAGCGAGAACGAGGGGAUCGAGGGCGUGCGGUUCGCGGUGACUGGCGGGCAGGGCUUCGUCGGCGUCGCCCUAUGUCUGGAGCUGAUCCGCCGCGGCGCCCUGGAGGCCGGAUCUCUCAACCUGCGCGAUUCCUCCUCCUGGUCCCAGCAGCUCCUCGACGCCGCCUUGCUUCUUUCAUGGUCUUAAAUUACUGUGGUUUUUUUUCUUCUGUGGCCAUGAGCGGGCGUGAGACUUAUAAGGCAGCGUCGCAGCCAAGAAGACAAUGGUGGGAGGUAGAUGGGCAUGGCUUCUGUUCGUCAUGCAUUUGGUUCAGGAAGAAGAAGGUGGUGCACAAGAUGGCGACGAGUGUAACUGCCUUGAGGCUUUUCUGAAUUUCUUUGUUCUAACAACCGUACUUGAAUUACGACGUUCUCUACACAUUUGGAAUAGAUUGUCAAGAAAAUUUAUCUGAAGUCUGAACAAAUUCAUUUAGAUCCAGUUUAAUUAGCUGGUCUAUUCAUUUUAUGCAUUGAUUUUGUCAUGUUAUAAAAUUGGAAUACCAUAUACAACAUAAUGUCACAAUGCUGCAAAUAUACGGUGCAUGGAUGCAUAUUUUAACUCUCAUGAGUACUUCUAGAAUAAGAAUUGUACGAUGCUUAAAGAUGUUAUUUGCAUCUGCAAAGAGCAAUCAUAUCUUUUGAUUGAUUCCAUAAGAGUGAGGUCACUCCUUGACUAAGUCGAACUUGAAUCAUUGGUUGGACAUGUGGUCGAUCAGCAACUAAUUCUAUCUAAAGCAAAUGUUGUUCUAUCCUUCUAAUUACUGUUAUUCAGAUCUUCUUUUCUUUUUUCUAUUGUCAUUCAGAGUAUAAAUGUUAUCAGAAGAAUUUCAGGAAUUUUGUCAUGUCUUUCUCCCAGUUACCUUAAUUUUGUAAAUUGUGUUCUCAUUCAAUUUUGAUAUUCUUUUCAGAAAAGCCUACUUUAAAGUUGUGUGAAUCCAUUAUUUCCUUUUGAGUUUGACGUGGAGUGCUUAGAAUUCUCAAAGGCGUCAACAAGUCCCGGAGGAGAUUGACAAGGUGCAGGCAAGAUCGCUGAUCUUAAAUUCAUUGCUGUCUUUUUCUGUCUGAACGUUUUCUAUUUUGGAGUUGCAGCCAUGGUGUAUCAACCAACUUGGUUUAGGAUGUAUUUUAGUUGGUUUGGUUGCAUGAACCAACAAGGCUUAUGAUGUAUUGCAGUUGGUUUGGUAUGAUCAGCCUACUGAGAUAUAAUUACUCUAGCCAGUUUGAAAACUAGCAGGGAAAACAUGCACUGUGAGCUCCCCUCGCAUUCAGAGUUUAGAGCUUGAUGAGCAAUGCUGUGAGAUCUUGUUGGUGAUCUUCUAUUUUUCACAAAAUUGGUACAUGUUGGAUGGUCAAUGUGAGGUUCACCAAGUAAAAAAUUCCUCAUUUGUCCGUUCUGAUAGUAUGAUGGAAUUUUAUUGAGAAGAACCUACAGUUUCUUUGGUAAGUUUGGGUUAGGAGUUCCAUAUAUAUGCGUAUGUAGGGGAAUCAUGAUAUGCUUCUUUUGCAGUGCCAACACUGAAAAUGUAAAUUGUGUCAUGCAUGACUUUUAUAUGUGUUCUAGGAUUUGGAUGAUAGCUCUAUAAACAAAAUUCCUUAUUCUGCGCUUCUCUGCUUUGCUUGGCAGUUGUAGGAAAGAACGAAGGCAUGGUUUGCAUGACAUUAUCCUCAAUGGGCUGGAGAUAGCGGGGAUCACUGAUCGGAGAUAUUGUGUUCACGUGCCAACUACAGAAGCUAGGUUAUUUUCGAUGAGAAUACCGCUGACCAAGUUAGAGCCUCUGUCAAAAUAUGAACAUGCGGCAGGUUGCUACUAUAUAUCCAUAUAAAAUAGGAUUGGCAUUACAUUAUGUAAUAGCAGAUUUUGUUCUUGCACUAUAUUCUUUCUUUGUGUGUACCUUCAUAAGUUUCUAUCCUGAUAAUAUAUUAAGAUGACAUGGAAAAUCUAGAAGGUCAUUUCGCAGUGUGAGCUUUUUGAAAUCCUUUAAUUGAAUUACUGAGAUUCAGUACUUCUAAUGUUCUUCAGUCUUUAGACUAAUGAAUUGCUGAAAUCUUGAUGUUGCAAUUUUAUUCUUUAAUCUUUAAGGUUGGUUUCAGAUGGAGAGCUAGGCCCAUUUUCAAUACCAAUGUUGGUUUUUAUUUUUUUUCAAUGGUUCAUUGCAUCAUACGUUCUUACAAAUCAAGCAUACCUUUUGAAUCUUGAUGUUGUUUCUUAUAUAGCAUAUCUAAAUGUGAAGUUUUAUAUACAAGUGUGGUGUUUCCAAUACAGAAGCUAAAUAGAAGGGGAAUAUGUGAACUUCCUAAACAUGGGUGAAGGGGGAAGAUUAUAACAACGUUGGCAUUGGCUCUAUUGGUUUGAUGUCGCAGAUGUAUUGGUUGUCAACUAUCGUCCACACAUAAUGAUCGGACUCGAUUCCUAUAGUGAGCGCUCUUCGUCCACCUCCAGCAAUUUUUAUUUGUUUCACCUUAGUCUUCAUAGUCCCUCAAGACAAUUAUCAUUGAAGUCUGACAAUGGCCUCCUCUCACUUUUGUGAACGACACUUGCAUCUUCUCACUUCUGUGAACGACGCUUGCAUCUUCUCACUUCUGUGGACGACAGAAGAUUUUCUCAUAGUAAUAGUUCUUUGCUAUUUUUGAUACAUAAAUGGUUCUUUACUGAAUGGUACUUGUAUGUGUGUAUGGAGAAUGGUGAUGGACUUUUUAAAUAAUCCAUUGUCCAACAAGGGGAUUGUAAUUUCUGAUUCGAUUAACCUAUAACAA